rnacentral:rRNA from 1 species
UACGUAGGGGGCAAGCGUUGUUCGGAAUUACUGGGCGGGAAGGGCGCGUAGGCGGCACGGCAAGUCGGGAGUGAAAGCCCGGGGCUCAACCCCGGAGGGUCUCUCGAAACUGCCGAGCUAGAGUGCGGAAGAGGCAAUCGGAAUUCCCAGUGUAGCGGUGAAAUGCGUAGAUAUUGGGAGGAACACCGGUGGCGAAGGCGGCAUCCUGGACCGGCAUUGACGCUGAGGCGCGAAAGCCAGGGGAGCAAACGGG